AUUGAACGCUGGCGGUAUGCUUAACACAUGCAAGUCGAACGGUAACAGGCCUUCGGGCGCUGACGAGUGGCGGACGGUGAGUAACGCGUAGGAAUCUGCCUCAUAGUGGGGACAACGUGGGGAAACUCACGCUAAUACCGCAUACGCCCUACGGGGAAAGCGGGGAUCUUCGGACCUCGCGCUAUGAGAUGAGCCUGCGUUAGAUUAGCUAGUUGGUAGGGUAAAGGCCUACCAAGGCGACGAUCUAUAGCUGGUCUGAGAGGACGAUCAGCCACACUGGGACUGAGACACGGCCCAGACUCCUACGGGAGGCAGCAGUGGGGAAUAUUGGACAAUGGGCGCAAGCCUGAUCCAGCAAUACCGCGUGUGUGAAGAAGGCCUUAGGGUUGUAAAGCACUUUCAAUUGGGAGGAAAACCUGCCGGUCAAUACCCGGCAGCUUGACAUUAACCUUUAGAAAGAAGCACCGGCUAACUCCGUGCCAGCAGCCGCGGUAAU
rnacentral:rRNA from 1 species